UAAAUAACGCGCAUGAAUGAAUCACGCCGCGGUUGCCGGCACCGCGUGUAAUUACAAACAUUAGCCACUAUGUGUGUGUGUGCUUGUAAGUGCGUUUGU